rnacentral:lncRNA from 1 species
CCAGUUGGGUUCCGACACCGUUCCUUGAGGUUUGAAACUGGGACCAGUUGGGCUCCAUCACCAUUCCUUGAGGUUUUCCAGAGGAAAACCAGUACUAGCACCUGGGCAGAGGAACUGGGACCAGUUGGGCUUGAGGUUUGGAACUGGGACCAGUUGGGCUCCGACACCGUUCCUUGAGGUUUGGAACUGGGACCAGUUGGGGGCUCCAACACCGUUCCUUGAGGUUUGGAACUGGGACCAGUUGAGCUCCAGCACCAUUCCUUGAGGUUUUCCAGGUGAAAACCAGUCCCAGCACUUGGGUUGAGGAACUGGGACCAGGUGGGGGCUCCAACACCAUUCCUUGAGGUUUGGAACUGGGACCAGUUCGGCUCUGACACCAUUC